CAAUCUCCGCUCUUUAGGCCUCCUGUGUUUCUUUCUCCUGUGUUUCUUUGUGUCAGGUUUGUCACAACAGUGCUCUUCCUUGGAGAAGGCUUGGGACUCCAGUCUAACGGCAACUAGUGCGCGGGUAGCCCAACUUACUAGGCCAUGUCGCUGGAAAAUCGCGCAGUUGUUCCCUGGCGGUCGGACAAUAAAGGGCCCCAGAGUGUAGGCAGCAUCUCGCGGGCAGCCGGAGGUGGCCGGCCGCCUGGAUUUGAAGAAGGGGUUCCGAGGGAGGGGCGGGCGCGGGACUUGCAAAAGUUCCCUUGAACUCUUGGGACACGUCGGAGGUGAGACUGCCAGAGCUCCGGCAACCAACCGCUUCCACCCGUGCCCUUCUCCUGGGGAGGGGACCUCGGCGGGGCUCAACAAAUGGUGGCUUCGCGGGCCUCUCCAGGGGAUUCAUUAUUGGUUUAUAUAGAAGCUAUUGAUUUUUGUUAGCACAAAAUGACCAAGCUGGGUGCAAACUUCACAGAUCAGCACAGCCUUUAUUCAGCAGUGGAGUUGUGCAUCUGGUGGACCCACUUUUCUCAUGGAAAAUGAGCCACUGGCCAAAGGAGGAAUCUGUGCUUAUUAUAUAUGUUACACUGAGCGAUGACUUGAUUAUUGAUAGAGCAUGUCAGUUUGGGCACUCAGGAAACAGGUAUAGAUGGACACAGCACAAUGCUGGUGCUGAGGAUCG